AAUAUACUCCCUUCGUCCGGAAGUACUUGUCGCAGAAAUGGAUGUAUCUAGACAUAUUUUAGUUCUAGAUACAUUCACUUUUACCCAUUUCCACGACAAGUAAUCCGGACGAAGAGAGUAUUAU
rfam:Triticum aestivum genome assembly, contig: Triticum_aestivum_CS42_TGACv1_scaffold_327908_4BS